GAUGAACGCUAGCGGGAGGCUUAAUACAUGCAAGUCGAACGGCAGCAGUCUGAACCUAGUUCGGAGCUGGCGAGUGGCGCACGGGUGAGUAACGCGUACACAACCUACCUUUAAGAGGGGGAUAGCCCUGGGAAACUGGGAUUAAUACCCCAUAGUAUCAUAAAUAGGCAUCUAUUAAUGAUUAAAGUUGAGGCGCUUAAAGAUGGGUGUGCGUACUAUUAGCUAGUUGGUAAGGUAAUGGCUUACCAAGGCUACGAUAGCUAGGGGGCGUGAGAGCGUGACCCCCCACACGGGUACUGAGACACGGACCCG
rnacentral:rRNA from 1 species